rnacentral:tRNA from 1 species
GUAGGCAUAGUUUAACAAAAACAUCAGAUUGUGAUUCUGAGAACAGGGGUUAAAUUCCUCUUGCUUACC